AUAUAUAUAUACAUAUACGUAUACAAAUACAUAAAUUCAAAAAUUGAAAACCAAAUCCACUCUCACUCAACAUCACCCUACACUCUCCCAUUUCGGUUAUAUGUGCCUCCUUUCCCUUUUCUCGCACUAUUCUCUCUUAUUUCCUCUCUCUCGUGUAUGAUUCUCUCCUAUUUCUCUCUUCACAGGCGCGAUUCCUUCCUCCAGGCGUAAUUUUCAACAGCGCCGCAAUUCUCAUGCGUGUUCUUUAACUGAUUUUCGCUACUUGUUUUCUCUUUCUUCUAGUUUGAUUUGGCAUUUUCAUCUCUAAAUUAAAGUUUGAUUUUUGUUACUUUUGCCCUCUCUGAUUCCUGCAUUUUCUUUUCUGCAUCAAGGAAGCAGAUAUAAAAGCAGAGCUUUCAAGUCUGUGCGAGUUGCUAUCCAUGUCCUGGUAAAUGGAUUGCAAGUUAAUGUUAUUUCCUUUAGUUUUAAUGUUGGAUUUUGAAACUAACCCUAAUUUCUUGCUUCUCAGGAAUCAAAAAUAAAAAAUCAAAGAAAUA